rnacentral:lncRNA from 1 species
GUCUGAUUCAUCUGAAAAUUUCAGAGCAGAUAGAUCUUGACCUGAUAAACAAUUUAACCCUUGUCAGAUUUGCUCUAAAUGCUUUGGUUUUUGUGUUAUGUUCUAUUUUGGCGGCCAUCAUGGUUGGUUGGCCGGGUUACCGGACACAUUUUUUAAAGUAGAUACCCCAAUAAUGAUUGUUGCCAAGUUUGGUUUAGUUUGGCCAAGUAGUUUCAGAGAAGAAGAUUUUUGUAAAAGUUAACGACGACGGACGAAGAUUUUCAAAAAGGGGAAAUCACUCAUUUUUUUUUUAAAUUACAUCCAAAUUAGUUUGAGCAUGAAAUUUUCAAUUGCUGGAAUAUGUUAUUUGAUAUAUUUACCCUCAAUACAUCUAAAAAUAGUUUUUUUCAUAAGAAAGGAAUAUUUAUCAUGAAAAUAUUCAUAUGAAAAAUAUUUAUUUACAAAUAGAACGUAAAAAAGGGGAAUUUCAGGGUAAAUUACAAUGAUUAGUAUUCCUCGUUUGGCAACUUUCUGCUAC